AGCGCGGAGCACGAGGAAUUCUGCGUGAAUCUGCCGGGACCAUCCGGUAAGGCUAAAUACUCCCGAGAGACCGAUAGCGAACCAGUACCGUGAGGGAAAGGUGAAAAGCACUUCGAACAGAAGAGUGAAAUAGUUCCUGAAACCGUGCGCCUACAAGCGGUCGGAGCUCGUUAAUGAGUGACGGCGUGCCUUUUGCAUAAUGAACCUACGAGUUGCCUUUGCCGGCAAGGUUAAGUGUGACGACACACGUAUCCGAAGCGAAAGCGAGUCUGAACAGGGCGUAUAGUCGGCAGUGGCAGACGCGAAACCAAGUGAUCUACCCUUGGCCAGGUUGAAGGCUGGGUAACACCAGCUGGAGGACCGCACCAAUAAGCGUUGAAAAGCUUCUGGAUGAGCUGAGGGUAGGGGUGAAAGGCUAAUCAAACUUGGAGAUAGCUCGUACUCCCCGAAAUGCAUUUAGGUGCAGCCUUGCGGGUUACUGAUGUGAGGUAGAGCGACUGAUAAGAUGCGAGGGCUUCACCGCCUAUCAAGUCUUGACAAACUCCGAAUGCGCAUCAGUUCUACCGCAGGAGUGAGGGCAUGGGUGCUAAGGUCCGUGCCCGAGAGGAGAAGAAUCCGGACCACCUGCUAAGGUCCCGAAAUGACAGCUAAGUUAAACUAACGAAGUCUGACUGCUAAGACAGCUAGGAUGUUGGCUUGGAAGCAGCCAUUCAUUUAAAGAGUGCGUAACAGCUCACUAGUCGAGGAGUCGGGCGUGGAUAAUAAUCGGGUAUCAAGUUGUCUACCGAAGCAGUGGGAUCAUUAAUAUGAUCGGUAGGGGAGCAUUCCAGUCAGCGUCGAAGGCGUACCGUGAGGUAUUCUGGAGCGUCUGGAAAAGCAAAUGUAGGUAUAAGUAACGAUAAAGGGGGCGGGAAACCCCCUCGCCGAAAGACUAAGGUUUCCUGAUCAACGCUAAUCGGAUCAGGGUCAGUCGGGUCCUAAGGCUCAGCCGAACGGCGAUGCCGAUGGCAGAAACGGUUAAUAUUCCGUUACUACCUUCAGGAGUGACGUGGAGACGCAGUAGUGACAGUGCCGCCAUCUGACGGAAUAGAUGGUUGAAGGGUGUAGGAGUCGAUCAUGGCAGGCAAAUCCACCAUGAGAUCCGAACCUGACAGUAUGCCGCGUCCUUCGGGACAAGGCAAUAGUGCGCGUAAGCAUGCUGCCGAGAAAAUCCGCUAAACUUAAUCCUGCAGGUACCCGUACCGCAAACGGACACACGUAGUCGGGAUGAAUAUUCUAAGGCGCUUGAGUGAUUCACGGUUAAGGAACUAGGCAAACUGACCCUGUAACUUCGGGAUAAAGGGUCCCUACCCUUUUAUGGGAGGGCGCAGAGAAUCGGUCCAGGCAACUGUUUAACAAAAACACAGGGCUGUGCCAAAUCGAAAGAUCCAGUAUACAGCCUGACACCUGCCCGGUGCUGGAAGGUUAAGAGGAGAUGUCAUCGAUAAGAGAAGCGUUGAAUUGAAGCCCCAGUAAACGGCGGCCGUAACUAUAACGGUCCUAAGGUAGCGAAAUUCCUUGUC
rnacentral:rRNA from 1 species